GACGAACGCUGGCGGCGUGCUUAACACAUGCAAGUCGAACGGAAAGGCCUCUUUCGGGGGGUACUCGAGUGGCGAACGGGUGAGUAACACGUGAGUAACCUGCCCUUGACUUUGGGAUAACUUCAGGAAACUGGGGCUAAUACCGGAUAGAAGCUCCUGCUGCAUGGUGGGGGUUGGAAAGUUUCGGCGGUUGGGGAUGGACUCGCGGCUUAUCAGCUUGUUGGUGGGGUAGUGGCUUACCAAGGCUUUGACGGGUAGCCGGCCUGAGAGGGUGACCGGCCACAUUGGGGCUGGGAUACGGCCCAGACUCCUACGGGAGGCAGCAGGGGGGAAUAUUGCACAAUGGGUGGGAGCCUGAUGCAGCAACGCCGGGUGCGGGAUGACGGGCUUCGGGUUGGAAACCGCUUUCGCUCAUGACGAAGCUUUGUGUGACGGUAGUGGGUAAAGAAGCACCGGCUAACUACGUG
rnacentral:rRNA from 1 species